ACCCUUAGAUGUCCUGGGCCGCACGCGUGCUACACUGACGCCUACAGCGAGUACUUCCCAGCCCCGAGAGGCGGCUGGUAAUCAGCAAUAGGCGUCGUGAUGGGGAUAGAACUUUGGAAUUAUUGUUCUUGAACGAGGAAUGCCUAGUAAGCGCACGUCAUUAGCGUGCGCUGAUUAAGUCCCUGCCCUUUGUACACACCGCCCGUCGCUCCUACCGAUUUCGAGUGGUCCGGUGAAUCUUUCGGACUGCGCGUGGCUUCGUGCCAUGUCGCGGAAAGUCAGGUAAACCUUAUCACUUAGAGGAAGGAGAAGUCGUANCA
rnacentral:rRNA from 1 species